rnacentral:rRNA from 1 species
AGAGCGAACGCUGGCGGCAGGCUUAACACAUGCAAGUCGAGCGCCCCGCAAGGGGAGCGGCAGACGGGAGAGUAACGCGUGGGAACAUACCUUUUGGUUCGGAACAACUGAGGGAAACUUCAGCUAAUACCGGAUAAGCCCUUACGGGGAAAGAUUUAUCGCCGAAAGAUUGGCCCGCGUCUGAUUAGCUAGUUGGUGAGGUAAUGGCUCACCAAGGCGACGAUCAGUAGCUGGUCUGAGAGGAUGAUCAGCCUCAUUGGGACUGAGACACGGCCCAAACUCCUACGGGAGGCAGCAGUGGGGAAUAUUGGACAAUGGGCGCAAGCCUGAUCCAGCCAUGCCGCGUGAGUGAUGAAGGCCUUAGGGUUGUAAAGCUCUUUCGUUGGGGAAGAUAAUGACGGUACCAAAGAAGAAGCCCGGCUAACUUCGCGCCAGCAGCCGC